CUGCUCAUAAGGAAACCUCCAUUUGGCCAUGGGCGUGAGCUGCAGUAGAGAGAAAGUGUGAUGUGGUGGAUGAGAUGCCCUUAAUUGUACUUUAACAACAGAUUGCAGUUAUAUUAGGCUGAGGAAGAGGAGGAAGAGGAGGAAGUGGCGGAGCUGGUCUUACUGUCUCGGG